UCAUAACAUUUACAUACUGCAAACAUUGCAGGGAUAUACACAUUUUCUGAUUUAUUAGGCAAAAGUUAUUCAGAAAGUGAGAGGCAAAAGCCAAACAUUCUGCGAUAAAGCCUCCUUCACAAAAGGGAGAAUGUUUUGUUUGUUGAAAUGGCUAUAAGGGUGUUUCUUAUAUGUAGUCUUACAUUACAGGAAAAAAAACGUAAACUAAAUGAAAUGUAAUGUAGUCUAACCUGGUUGUUCGUACUUGAUAUAAUUGAUUUUGCUAGGAACAACCAAAAACCCUGCAUUCUUGGAACGCAAUGCCCUAGUGGGACAGUAGGGUAUAAUGAGCUCUUUAAGAUAAAGAUGGGGCCUGCCCAUUAAGGGCUUUGUAGGCGAGAAGAAGAAUUUUAAAUUCUAUCUUGUGUUCUACAGGGAGCCAAAACAGGAGUAAUGUGGUCCCUUUUCCGUGCUCUGGUCAAUACAUUUUGAAUCAGCUGAAGCAACUUAACUGACUUUUUGGACACCCUGAUAAUGAGUUACAAUAAGCUAGCCUUGAAGUAACAAAUGCAUGGACUAGUUUCUCUGCAGCGUUUUGAGGCAAGAUAUGCCUGGUAUGUGAUUUUGUAAAUACAUUUAGCACACAACUACAAUCAUAACAUCAUUAGAAAAUGAAAUGAUUUGAUGAUUUUUAUGACUGUGAUAUUUUGUUUUCUUUGAUAAAUGCGGAGUUUAAGCGCAUAACAACCCUGCCCCUCCAAUCAAGAUUUCUCUCUCAGCUGGAUGUGCUAUCUGACAAACUUCUGAAGAUUUUUGAGAAGAGAGGAGGACAGAUAGGCCAGCGUCUGAACUGUAUUAUGUCAAACAUGACUCAAGUUGAUGAUGUCGAUUUAGGGCGGGAAUGUCUUCUCAAGGGGCUGUGUUUGCACCUCAAUGAGGACCCAGUAGAUCUGCUGAGAGAGUUUGUGGCAGAAGAUGAAGACGUCAUUCUGCGGUCCAUUCAGUGGAUUACAGUGGGACUUUAUGUUGUCAAACAAAAUUCCACCAUGAGACCAGAGGACAGAUGAGACCAGAGGACAGAUGAGACCAGAGGACAGAUGAGACCAGAGGACAGAUGAGACCAGAGGACAGACGAGACCAGAGGACAGAUUGUCCUGGAAGGCCAACAAGUACUAACUGAUGAGGACAACAUUGCAUUAGCUGCUACCAUGUUAUUUGGACUAAUGUAUGCAAUGAACCUGAACUACCCCCCUAAACUGAAGUGCACGUUCGAAGUGCUCCAGAAAUCGUUAAUGGAGCUAGAUGGCAACAUGCUCUCCAAGAAAGCCCAAGCGUUUAAAAAUAAACUAUUUGAGUGAGCUGUUGCCAUGGACCAUUGUGCACUUUUACAGCAUUCAUACUGGACUUUCAUCGAUACAACUGUCUUGCACUUCCUUUGCUCAUGCUUUUUGCUGUAUUUAUUUGCAUGUUUCAGAAAUGUGUGUUUUUCCAUGAGUUUCAGAAUGUACCACUUGCAUCAAAGUGUCAGAUUUGCAGAAUUGUCUUUAUCUAAUUGCGCUACCUCAAAAUGUCAGUUCUUGUUUUUAUUUGUAAUACUUUCUUUAGUGCAUAUGUGGUGAGAAACCAGGCCAUUAUUAUACUUUCAUGUAUCUUUCUUGUAUUAAAGUGACCUUUCAUAUUAGCAGGUUACUAUUUCAAUAAUGGAUUUGCAAGAACAUUUCCUUUUUUCGGCGUUGACAUUUUCUGUUAAUUGUUUACUAUGAAUGAGUUAAAAAAAUAAGCCUUUCUUUGCCAUUUGGCACAAUAAACCUUUAUUUUGGUCGGGAGAAUAGUUUCCUUUAAGCUUCCUUGCUGUGUUCUAACACAAUAAUGUAUAUAUACAUGCAUCACAAACAUUUUCUAUUUCAAAUCAAAUCAAAUCAAAUCAAGUUUUAUUUAUA